rnacentral:tRNA from 1 species
GCGAAAGUGGUGAAAUGGUAGACACGCAAGGUUGAGGGCCUUGUGGCCGAUAAGGCUGUACGGGUUCAAGUCCCGUCUUUCGCA